rnacentral:lncRNA from 10 species
GGCUGAGGCAGGAGAAUGGUGUGAACCUGGUAGGCGGAGCUUGCAGUGAGCCGAGAUGGCGCCACUGCACUCCAGCCUGGGCGACAGAGCGAGACUCCGUCUCAAAACAAAACAAAACAAAACAAAACUAGCACAUGCUACCCCAAGAACUUAAUCAUCAAGUCCCACAGGUCUGGGUUUUUGUUUUUGUUUGGUUUUUUUUUUAGACAGAGUCUUCUCUGUGUCACCCAAGCUGGAGUACAGUGGCACAAUCUCGGCUCACUACAACCUCCAUUCAAGUGAUUCUUGUGCCUCAGCCUCCAAAGUAGCCGGGAUUACAGGCACAUGCCACCCCACCCCAGCUAGUUUUUAUAUUUUUAGUAAAGACAGGGUUUUGCCAUGUUGGCCAGGCUAGCCUUGAACUCCUGGCCUCAAGUGAGCUGCCCACCUCAGCCUCCCAAAGUGCUGGGAUUACAGGCCUGAGCCACUGCGCCUGGUCUGGAUCUUAAAGCAGAGACCAUGUGGGCCUUCGAGGAGCUCACAUUCUCCUUGAGAUGAAAAGGAAGCAUGCUGGAUAAUGCUCCCAGCCUCUGCUGCAGAGAAACCAAAGCUGGCCUGCUCCCCUGCCAGCAGAGACUAAGUGGGGUGGUCUGAGAUUGAGGAGCCAACAGACUCAGCAAACACAUGCUGACAAUCCUCCUCAUUUGGUCUUAUUCACCAGCAGAGCCCCCAUGGGUAUAAGUCCAGCCAUCAGGUGACAGGAGGAGCGGCUGAGCCAGGGCUGGAUUCGGGGAACGCUCCUCUUCCUCUUCCUCCCACCUCCCCAAGCUAGGGUGUCAGGAAUGUAUCCUAACCUUGGGCCUAGCCUUGGGCUCCCUUCCAUCCUUGGUUUUGGAGUUAGGGAGCUGCUCCCCUCCAACCCUACUUCAAUGGGUCCCCAACACAAACCCAGGCCUCAGCCCUAGGCCACCUGCCAGCUGAUGGGGUCUCUUUAAGGAAUUGAUUUCCACAAGUCCCUGAAGUGUUUCUUCGGCAGUAAAUCUCCUGCCACCCAGGCUUUCUGGCCCAUGAAUGAUUUAGCGCCUUGGAGGGGUUGGAACCGUCUUCCUGUGCAGUGGAGGCCUGCAGUGGUGACAUCACAGCUGCAAUGGUGAUGGAUGGACUCUUCUACCCUAAUGGGGAGGAGAAUGCACAGGCCGCUGGGAGGGGUCAGGCCAUGAAAGUAAGUACCCAUCUGGCUCCGCAGAUUUCUGGUUUGGGGUUCUUACUGAUGGACCAGCUAGCUAAUUGCCCUCGGAGGUACCUAGAGAAAGGGCCCGAGUCCAUCUCUCUGUCCCCAGCCCAGAGGGACACAGGCUCAUGUCACUUUGAGGUUUGCCUUUCCAAUUCCUAAAGUGCUCUGAAUUAUACCGAGCGCCGUCUUCCCUUGCUCCAGUGACAGCACGCAUACACUCCAACACACACAUGCACCUGCAUGGGUGUGCACACACAUGCACCUGCAUGGGUGUGCACACACACAUCCACUGUUCUCAACAACUCUCUCAGGAAGUUCAUCAUUAUGUCCCACCUAAACGUUUCUUGCUACUGGGGAAGCCCAUUUUUCUCUGAUUCCAUCUGGAAUUGACAGAGAACAGCUGGUCAUUAUUAGCCAUAUGCUCCCCCUCCAAGCACACAUGGUGAAUAGCAGCAUGUUCUUGGUCCCUUCUCCACUCAGAGCCCCCUCCCCCAUCAUCUCUCCUCUAAGCAUCAAUGACCCUAGUUAUCUCUGUUCCACCAGCCUUUGGGGGAAAUGACAAGGCUUUAGUCAGUCAGCAUCCACAGGGUGCCAACUUCUUCAAGGGAGGGUAGGAAGUGGAGGGGGUGGUCUCUGAGGCAGGGAGUAGCCUCUGCCCACUCUUGCCAUCCCUGACACCAGCUGGCCCUGGCCUAUCUUGGAGUAAGUAUAACUUGGAGGAGGAGGUAAAUUUCCUGCUUCAAAAUAGCUUCCCCCCAUUGCCUAUCCUAUAGAGACAGCCAUUGGCUUGAUUUUUCUCUAAGAUUGAAACUGGGGUAUGCACCAUGCAAAUUCACUGCUAUGGUGCACAUCCCGGAUUGGUACUGGGGUGUGCAACAUGUGAAUUCACUGGUAUCACAUACAUGUUAGCAUGUCUUAGUGUGAGCUACUGUGCCAGGACCCAAACACUUUUUCAUUUUCCCCUCAGAUCUCUGAAGGGUGGGAAGAUCUGAGGCUUCCUGUGAGUGUGCAUUUUCCAAGUUCACUCAGAGGGCACUUGGCAGAUGAAGGCUCAGACCCAAGCGUUCUCGCUCCCGGCCUCCAUAGUACCACUUUGCUGUUUACAAAGUGCUUUCAUGGACAUCAUCUCAUCUGAUUCUCAGGAUAACCCCAUUUUACGAGUGAGAAAACUGAGACUUGGAGAGAUUGAGUGGCUUGCUCAAGCCAUCCAGCUAGUGAGCUGCAGAGCAGAGGAGACUCCUCGGGCUCCUCCGUUUGUCCCUAGAGAGGCUCAUCUGACCUCCACCUCUCUUGUUGGGAUUGAUGGAGUCCGCUCUGCCCUGCUUAACUCUGCUGGGGGCAACUGCAGGAACUUACUCAGACCACCUGUCCUAGGUGCUGAGCCAGUCCCGACUUAGUUUCAGCUGAGCCACAUUUAGAGAACUGUUAACAUGGUGGUGUUGACCUUACCUGUAAGACCCCUGGCCACCUCACUCAGGUUGCUCUCAGUCAUGAGAUUAGAAAACCAAGAUAUUCCUCCCAAAGACUCUUCUCACAUUUGUUGUAUCUUCUGUUUUAAUCAUGAAAAUCCAGAUAUGGCCGGGUGUGGUGGCUCACGCCUGUAAUCCCAGCACUUUGGGAGGCCGAGGCGGGCGAAUCACGAGGUCAAGAGAUCGAGACGAUCCUGGCCAACGUGGUGAAAUGUCAUCU